GGGGGUGUACCGGCUUCGACGGGGUGUGGAAAGAUCUUUGGAGGCGACUCGGUAUUGUACCGCCGUAAUGGACAAAAAUUGAUAAUUGCUAACGACGAGCAUUACGCUCCGGCACUCGCAGCAGCUUAAACUGUUGUAAAGUGCGGGGUCCCGAUCUGGGCCCGGCAACAGAAGCCACAAGGUAUGAUCAAGCCGGAACUAAACAGGCCGGUCUAAAUAAAGGGGUUUCCAGUACUGCGAGGUAACGCAGGUUUCAAGGUCAGCUGGUCGAAGGCCAAGAAACUAUCAGACCAGCAAAAUAGUCGUGCAUCUUCCGGGUUGAAUACAUGUUUCGGACGCGGGUUCGACUCCCACCA
rnacentral:tmRNA from 1 species